GACGAACGCUGGCGGCGUGCUUAACACAUGCAAGUCGAACGAUGAAGCCUAGCUUGCUAGGUGGAUUAGUGGCGAACGGGUGAGUAAUACGUGAGUAACCUACCUUUAACUCUGGGAUAAGCCUGGGAAACUGGGUCUAAUACCGGAUACGACCAAUCUCCGCACGGGGUGUUGGUGGAAAGCGUUAUGUAGUGGUUAUAGAUGGGCUCACGGCCUAUCAGCUUGUUGGUGAGGUAACGGCUCACCAAGGCGACGACGGGUAGCCGGCCUGAGAGGGUGACCGGCCACACUGGGACUGAGACACGGCCCAGACUCCUACGGGAGGCAGCAGUGGGGAAUAUUGCACAAUGGGCGCAAGCCUGAUGCAGCGACGCCGCGUGAGGGAUGACGGCCUUCGGGUUGUAAACCUCUGUUAGCAGGGAAGAAGAGAGAUUGACGGUACCUGCAGAGAAAGCGCCGGCUAACUACGUG
rnacentral:rRNA from 1 species